GACGAACGCUGGCGGCGUGCUUAACACAUGCAAGUCGAACGAAGUGGCGAACGGGUGAGUAACGCGUAAUCAACCUGCCCUUCAGUGGGGGACAACAGUUGGAAACGACUGCUAAUACCGCAUACUGAAGGAGGGGAUUGCGUCGGAUUAACUAGUUGGCGGGGUAACGGCCCACCAAGGCGAUGAUCAGUAGCAGGUCUGCGAGGAGGAACGGCCAAAUUGCGACUGAGACACGGCCCAGACGCCUAAGGGAGGCAGCAGUGGGGAAUCUGCCGCAAUGGACGAAAGUCUGACGGAGCAACGCCGCGUGAGUGAUGACGGCCUUCGGGUUGGAAAGCUCUGUUAAUCGGGACGCGGUACCGGAAUAGAAAGCCACGGCUAACUACGUGCCAGCAGCCGCGGUAAUUC
rnacentral:rRNA from 1 species